AACGAACGCUGGCGGCGUGGAUAAGACAUGCAAGUCGUGCGGAAACUGCUUGGUAGCAAUAUCGAGCAGUUUCAGCGGCGAAAGGGUGCGUAACGCGUGGGCAAUCUUCCUAAAAGCUUGGAAUAACACCGAGAAAUCGGAGCUAAUAUCGAAUGUGACUACUGGCGGAUUCGCCUUGCAGUUAAAGCCGGGGGACCGAAAAGGCCUGGCACUUUUAGAUGAGCCCGCGGCCUAUCAGCUAGUUGCGGGGUAAUAGCCCACCAAGGCUAAGACGGGUAGCUGGUCUGAGAGGACGACCAGCCACACUGGAACUGAGACACGGUCCAGACACCUACGGGUGGCAGCAGUCGAGAAUUUUCACAAUGGGGAACCCUGAUGGAGCGACGCCGCGUGGGGGAU
rnacentral:rRNA from 1 species